rnacentral:lncRNA from 1 species
GAGAGAUCGUGCGAAAGGCUGGGAAACGGAUGUCCGCUGGGGGGGCUCCCACUGUUUUCGGCGCCAUCUGCAGUGAGAGGGACCCGCGCCGGCGCGUGAGGGACCGGGUGUCUGCGAGAUCCCGGUUGGUUGCCCAGCCCAGGGCGGGGAGGCCGCGUGUGUUGGAGUUGCAUCCAGAACUUUGGCCCGGAGAGUGCGUGAACAUGGGUGUGAUGUCGCAGCGGGCAGGGUGGCGACGGCCUUAUCAGAGGAGGCAUGCGGCAGCGACAUGCGUGUCGGGUGGGAGAGGGCCAGAAUGGUGAGGCCUAUUGCCGCACCGACGCGGCCCUGCACCCGGGAGGCGGUGGGGAUCGCCAGGAGGGGGGGUGCGCACCUCAUCAAUGAUGGAACGGCCGUGGGGUUGCCGCCUGCUUGGAGCUGCCUGGUGUCUGCCUCUACGAAGCCCAGGGACACCGUAUCC